GUGCCAUUGAGUGGGGGGUAACGUAGCGAAAGUUACGCUAAUACGCAUAUUCUGUGAGCAGGAAAGCAGGGGAUCGCAAGACCUUGCGCUCUUGAGCGGCCGAUGUCAGAUUAGCUAGUUGGUGAGGUAACGGCUUACCAAGGCGACGAUCUGUAGCGGGUCUGAGAGGAUGAUCCGCCACACUGGAACUGAGACACGGUCCAGACUCCUACGGGAGGCAGCAGUGGGGAAAUUUUUGGACAAUGGGGGCAACCCUGAUCCAGCCAUGCCGCGUGAGUGAAGAAGGCCUUCGGGUUGUAAAGCUCUUUCGGCCGGGAAGAAAUCGCAUGGGUUAAUACCCUGUGUGGAUGACGGUACCGGCAUAAGAAGCACCGGCUAACUACGUG
rnacentral:rRNA from 1 species